rnacentral:rRNA from 1 species
AGCGAACGCUGGCGGCAGGCCUAACACAUGCAAGUCGAACGAACCCUUCGGGGUUAGUGGCGGACGGGUGAGUAACACGUGGGAACGUGCCUUUAGGUUCGGAAUAACUCCGGGAAACUUGUGCUAAUACCGAAUGUGCCCUUCGGGGGGAAGAUUUAUCGCCUUUAGAGCGGCCCGCGUCUGAUUAGCUAGUUGGUGAGGUAAUGGCUCACCAAGGCUACGAUCAGUAGCUGGUCUGAGAGGAUGACCAGCCACAUUGGGACUGAGACACGGCCCAAACUCCUACGGGAGGCAGCUGUGGGGAAUCUUGCGCAAUGGGCGAAAGCCUGACGCAGCCAUGCCGCGUGGAUGAUGAAGGUCUUAGGAUUGUAAAAUCCUUUCACCGGUGAAGAUAAUGACUGUAGCCGGAGAAGAAGCCCCGGCUAACUUCGUGCCAGCCGCCGCGGUAACAC